UCACUGAUCCUUCUAAUGAUAAAUGGUCUGUUGUCCUAUCGACCAAUAAAAUAAGUGAUGAUAACAAUAAUGAUGAAGAUGUUGGUAAUGAUCUUUUAUUUGCAACAUCACAACAACCACAUGAAAUUGAUUCAACUGAUGAUGGUUUAUAUCUUAGAGAUGAUCAUGAUGAGGGAAUUUGGAUUAAUCCAUUGUUUCGUAUUGUAAAUGGAC
rnacentral:lncRNA from 1 species